UACAGAGGUCCCGAGCGUUGUUCGGAUUCAUUGGGCGUAAAGGGUGCGUAGGCGGUCUGCUAAGUUUGAUGUGAAAUCCCGGGGCUCAACCCUGGAAUUGCAUUGAAUACUGGCGGACUAGAGUCCUGGAGAGGAAACUGGAAUUUACGGUGUAGCAGUGAAAUGCGUAGAGAUCGUAAGGAAGACCAGUGGCGAAGGCGAGUUUCUGGACAGGUACUGACGCUGAGGCACGAAGGCCAGGGAGCAAACGGG
rnacentral:rRNA from 1 species